rnacentral:rRNA from 1 species
UCAGUCGACUCCUACGGGGAGGCAGCAGUGGGGAAUAUUGCACAAUGGGGGAAACCCUGAUGCAGCCAUGCCGCGUGUGUGAAGAAGGACCUUCGGGUUGUAAAGCACUUUCAGUAGGGAGGAAGGUAGUGUAGUUAACACCUGCAUUAUUUGACGUUACCUACAGAAGAAGCACCGGCUAACUCCGUGCCAGCAGCCGCGGUAAUACGGAGGGUGCGAGCGUUAAUACGGGAAUUACUGGGCGUAAAGCGCAUGCAGGCGGCCUGUUAAGUCAGAUGUGAAAGCCCGGGGCUUAACCUCGGAAUUGCAUUUGAAACUGGCAGGCUAGAGUCUUGUAGAGGGGGGUAGGAAUUUCAGGUGUAGCGGUGAAAUGCGUAGAGAUCUGAAGGAAUACCAGUGGCGAAGGCGGCCCCCUCGGACAAAGACUGAACGCUCAGAUGCGAAAGCGUGGGUAGCAAACAGGAUUAGAUACCCUGGUAG